rnacentral:rRNA from 1 species
GACGAACGCUGGCGGCGUGCUUAACACAUGCAAGUCGAACGGUAAGGCCCUUCGGGGUACACGAGUGGCGAACGGGUGAGUAACACGUGGGUGAUCUGCCCUGCACUUCGGGAUAAGCCUGGGAAACUGGGUCUAAUACCGGAUAGGACCACUGCCUGCAUGGGUGGUGGUGGAAAGCUUUUGCGGUGUGGGAUGGGCCCGCGGCCUAUCAGCUUGUUGGUGGGGUGAUGGCCUACCAAGGCGACGACGGGUAGCCGGCCUGGGAGGGUGACCGGCCACACUGGGACUGGGAUACGGCCCAGACUCCUGCGGGAGGCAGCAGUGGGGAAGAUUGGACAAUGGGCGCAAGCCUGAUGCAGCGACGCCGCGGGAGGGAUAACGGCCUUCGGGUUGUAAACCUCUUUCAGCACCGACGAAGCGCAAGUGACGGUAGGUGCAGAAGAAGGACCGGCCAACUACGUGCCAGCAGCCGCCGUAA